AAGUCGUAACAAGGUUUCCGUAGGUGAACCUGCGGAAGGAUCAUUAACAACGUAUCCACGUUUAUCAACCAACUGUGAACUUGUUUUCAAAUCUCCAACUGUUGUCCUACAGUCCUGGAUUAUUCCUCUGCGAAUAUUCCGUAUAGGAAGGUAGGAUGAUGACUAUCUAUAAACUAUUUUAACCGUCCUUUUCUAUAGUUGACUUUAUCUGUUGUGAAUUGAACUUGUUUCGAUUCUCACACGUUUCUUAAUUGAACGAUAAAUUUACAACUCUUGGCGAUGGAUAUCUUGGUUCUC
rnacentral:misc_RNA from 1 species